rnacentral:tRNA from 1 species
GGCUCGGUAGAGUAGUUGGUAAAGCACUCGUCUAGCAUACAAGAGUCGUGGGUUCGAAUCCUUCCUGAGCGA